UGCGCAUGAUCGUGGUGAUCGUGAUCGUGAUCGUGAUCGUGAUCGUGAUCGUGAUCGUGAUCGUGAUCGUGAUCGUGAUCGUGAUCGUCGGCCUUG
rnacentral:pre_miRNA from 1 species